GUUCUCACGCUUCUGUGUGCUGUCCUGCAUCUGCAAUGCUCUCUCAUGCCAGUCGGGGCUCUGAUACAGCAUCCUCCUAACCGCACACCCUUGAAAAUUUUCCACCUGGGGUGACCAUGGACCAGUGCAGUGGCUGAAAGCUGCUUAAACAGUGUGACAGAGGGCAUUCCAGAAAUGAGGACAUCUAUCUUCAUCCUCUUUGCGGAGCCAACCUGCCAACGGGGUCAAACAGUGUACCAGUAUUGCCUGCAUACAGAGGAGCAGUCUGGGAUCCACACCAGGAGUGACUAACCUGCAUUACAAUUGAGAUAAAGUAGCCUUCAACACAAUGCUCCUCAAGAAACAAUACAGAUUGUAAAGUUUCAUUUCUGAGACACUGAUGUGUUGCCUAUUUCUUACCUUUUGCAAGGCAGCGUCACAAAA